rnacentral:rRNA from 1 species
CCUACGGGUGGCAGCAGUGGGGAAUAUUGCACAAUGGGGGAAACCCUGAUGCAGCGACGCCGCGUGAAUGAUGACGUCCCUCGUUAUGUUAAGCUUUAUCAGUAGGGAAGUAAAUGAAGGUACCUGAGUCAUUAUCUACGGCUAACUACGUUACAGCAGCCGCGGUAAUACGCAGGCGGCCAGCGUUAUCCGGAUUUACUGGGUGUAAAGGGAGCGUAGACGGUUUGUCAAGUCUGUAGUGAAAGGCUGCGGCUCAACCUCAGGAUUGCCCUUGAAACUGUACGGCUGGAGUGCAGGAGAGGUAAGUGGAAUUCGUAGUGUAGCGGUGAAAUGCUUAGAUAUCACGAAGAACACCGGUUGCGAAGGCAGCUUACUGAACUGCAACUGACAUUGAUGCUCGAAAGCGUGGGGAGCAAACAGGAUUAGAUACCCGUGUAGUC